UUGACAGAAUGUGUAACAGUGAAUGGGGUGGAGCCGCUGGGUGGGGUCUGGGACAGGCAGCUGGGAGAAACCAAAAGGAAGAAAAAAAAACCAUUGCCCCCGAUAUCACUAACGCCGGGCGGAAGAAGUAAACCAGAAACUGGGGGGAGGAGGAAGGGUUUCAGAGCUUACCUCCACUCACACCUAUGGCUAACUCUCUCACGUUCUUCUCUCUUGAGAUAAAUAAAACAGAGCUUACACCGGCCCUGGUCGGUACUCCUUCCUUCUAACUCUCUACAGAACUCGGUUUGUGGUCCGAAGGAGUGAGGACCCCGAAUUCACCAGCUCAGUCCCGGCCCCGCCCCGUCGGCCAGAGGGCUUCGAGGAGAGGAUGCCUUCGGAGGCGCAGAAUCCCAAAACCAAAAUCAGCCAGCACAUCUUCAGUGGUUGCUGUAAUGAGGUUUUAUGCUUCACAGUACUGUGGAGUGACUGGAAGUGUAUUCAGCCUGAGGGCCACACAGUGCUUUCUUCUGGACAAGAUGUGCUGGUCAAGAAUGACUGAGCUACUUCGCAACCUGGGCAACUUAAGCAACAGAACUUUGAUGUUUAUAUUUAAGCUGGCUGGGGGUAUG